UUUAGCAUUGCAUGAUAAGUGUGAAUAGUUUUUUUUGUUGUUGAGAAAUUAAACAAGAUUAUUAGAAUCAUGAACCAAGAUGCCACACAGAUUACAAAAAUGCUGACAUUGCAAUCACGAAGUGUUCAUGAAGUGAAACCAAUUUUUAUUUCAGUCACGAGCUCUGCCACUUUAUAAAGCAACAUUUCCUUUCAUUCUUGAUUCUCAUGAUGCUAUUGUAUGUUCACAGUGACUUAUAAAACAGAGGAAAUGAGACCAAACUCCAAUAUCUGUCUCCAUUUUUUAAAAGGAGACCUCUCCAACUUUAAACAUUUCCUGAGCAUCUGAUGCCAGAUUAUGAGCAUUUCCUGAGACAUUAAACAAAGAAGAUAUCACAAUAUCAUCACAUUUACCUGUUGUGUGCUGUAAGAUGUCUUCAACAAAAAAACUGUUUGAACCAUUUAAAAGCGAGCUGGAGAAAAAGGCUCUUUCCACCUCUCUUCCAUUGAGCAUUUUGUUGAUUCCAUUGGAAGCUCUGAUUGAUAAAGAUUUUUCAUGCCCGUGCAAAGCUGAGCUGAAUGCAACCGUAUCAAGCCUCAUCUUUGCUGCACCUUUUUUUUUUGUUUUAGCUUUAACAUGUCUUGCUUUACGGCCAGUUAAACACACUGAUCGAUGUUCUUUUAAAAACAUUUUCAAAUUUCCAAAUUUCAAAGAAUCGUCCUCUAAUUGUCCAAAUUCCAAAGAAUGCUCCUGUAAAUGUCCAAAUUUUAAACAAUGUUUCCAAAAAUGUGUAAAAUGGAGAGAUUUCUUUCUUUGCCUGAUUCCACCUUUUGUGUGGAUCAUUCUUGUGCUCCUUGAUGGUGAUUAUGUUGCCUGUCAGAACACAGACUGGAAUGGAGUGUAUGUUUCAGAUGAGCAGCUACAUGUGAAAUGGUGUAAACCGACUAAAUCAGUUCCAAGAAGAAAUGAGACCGAACUACAGGCUCUGACUCUCAGCUUUAUUGCCACUUCACAGAAUUGGGGAUAUGGUCUGCUCCUUGUCUUCAGCUUUGGUAUUAUAGUCAUUGUAGCUUGUGAUGUCUGCCGGAGUGAAGAAAAGCCACAAAAUGAGGACAUGCUGUCACUCUAUACAUAGAUGAUAUGAUGUGUGAAUAUGUAAUGUGUAAGAUAUCAAUCAUGUUGUAAAGACAAAUUGUUCUAUAGAGAUCAAUAAAGUGUCUAUACUGAUUUAAUUCAGUGAUUGAUCUUCACUUCACUGUUUAAAAUCACACUAAUCAACUCGUUUCUACAAGUCCAGUCAUCUUGAAACUGAUGGCGGACAUUAAACAAGUAGCCUCGUGUAGGCUAUAGGGAAGUGUUUAUGUUUUAUUUUUUUAUAUUAAGUAACAUUUCCACAAUGUUUUCAAUCAGCAUUUCGGUAACCACAAAAGUUAAAAUGUGGUUAAUCAAAGCACAUAUUUUUACACUGACACAAACAAACACUCACCUGGAAGUAACCAGCAACAGUUUGCUCCUGAAACAAAUCUGUUAGUA